rnacentral:rRNA from 1 species
AAAUUGAAGAGUUUGAUCAUGGCUCAGAUUGAACGCUGGCGGCAGGCCUAACACAUGCAAGUCGAACGGUAGCACAGAGAGCUUGCUCUCGGGUGACGAGUGGCGGACGGGUGAGUAAUGUCUGGGAAACUGCCUGAUGGAGGGGGAUAACUACUGGAAACGGUGGCUAAUACCGCAUAACGUCGCAAGACCAAAGAGGGGGACCUUCGGGCCUCUUGCCAUCAGAUGUGCCCAGAUGGGAUUAGCUUGUUGGUGAGGUAACGGCUCACCAAGGCGACGAUCCCUAGCUGGUCUGAGAGGAUGACCAGCCACACUGGAACUGAGACACGGUCCAGACUCCUACGGGAGGCAGCAGUGGGGAAUAUUGCACAAUGGGCGCAAGCCUGAUGCAGCCAUGCCGCGUGUAUGAAGAAGGCCUUCGGGUUGUAAAGUACUUUCAGCGGGGAGGAAGGUGUUGUGGUUAAUAACCGCAGCAAUUGACGUUACCCGCAGAAGAAGCACCGGCUAACUCCGUGCCAGCAGCCGCGGUAAUACGGAGGGUGCAAGCGUUAAUCGGAAUUACUGGGCGUAAAGCGCACGCAGGCGGUCUGUCAAGUCGGAUGUGAAAUCCCCGGGCUCAACCUGGGAACUGCAUUCGAAACUGGCAGGCUUGAGUCUUGUAGAGGGGGGUAGAAUUCCAGGUGUAGCGGUGAAAUGCGUAGAGAUCUGGAGGAAUACCGGUGGCGAAGGCGGCCCCCUGGACAAAGACUGACGCUCAGGUGCGAAAGCGUGGGGAGCAAACAGGAU